rnacentral:rRNA from 2 species
GAUGAACGCUGGCGGCGCGCCUAACACAUGCAAGUCGAACGGUUAAAGCACCUUUUAGGUGUGUAUAAAGUGGCGAACGGCUGAGUAACACGUGGGCAACCUGCCCUCCUCUUGGGGAUAGCCUCGGGAAACCGAGGAUAAUACCCGAUACUUCAAUGUGGCCGCAUGACGACAUUGAGAAAGCUUUUGCGGAGAAGGAUGGGCCCGCGGCCUGUUAGCUUGUUGGUGGGGUAGAGGCCUACCAAGGCAAUGAUGGGUAGCUGGGUUGAGAGACCGACCAGCCAGAUUGGGACUGAGACACGGCCCAGACUCCUACGGGAGGCAGCAGUGGGGAAUCUUGCACAAUGGGCGAAAGCCUGAUGCAGCGACGCCGCGUGCGGGAAGAAGGCCUUCGGGUUGUAAACCGCUUUCAGCAGGGACGAGGCGAAAGGACGGUACCUGCA